rnacentral:piRNA from 1 species
GUAUAUGGGGCUGCUGGUCAUGU